rnacentral:rRNA from 1 species
UACGGAGGGGGCAAGCGUUGUCCGGAUUUAUUGGGCGUAAAGAGCGUGUAGGCGGCCAGGUAGGUCCGUUGUGAAAACUCGAGGCUCAACCUCGAGACGCCGAUGGAAACCAUCUGGCUAGAGUCCGGAAGAGGAGAGUGGAAUUCCCGGUGUAGCGGUGAAAUGCGCAGAUAUCAGGAAGAACACCCGUGGCGAAGGCGGCUCUCUGGGACGGUACUGACGCUGAGACGCGAAAGCGUGGGGAGCAAACAGG